rnacentral:rRNA from 1 species
GACGAACGCUGGCGGCGUGCUUAACACAUGCAAGUCGAACGGAAAGGCCCUGCUUUUGUGGGGUGCUCGAGUGGCGAACGGGUGAGUAACACGUGAGUAACCUGCCCUUGACUUUGGGAUAACUUCAGGAAACUGGGGCUAAUACCGGAUAGGAGCUCCUGCUGCAUGGUGGGGGUUGGAAAGUUUCGGCGGUUGGGGAUGGACUCGCGGCUUAUCAGCUUGUUGGUGGGGUAGUGGCUUACCAAGGCUUUGACGGGUAGCCGGCCUGAGAGGGUGACCGGCCACAUUGGGACUAAGAUACGGCCCAGACUCCUACGGGAGGCAACAGUGGGGAAUAUUGCACAAUGGGCGGAAGCCUGAUGCAGCAACGCCGCGUGCGGGAUGACGGCCUUCGGGUUGUAAACCGCUUUCGCCUGUGACGAAGCGUGAGUGACGGUAAUGGGUAAAGAAGCACCGGCUAACUACGUG